AACAAAUGUAAUGUGACAUUUUUGCAGAGAGAGAAAAGGAGCACGACACUCAGAGGGAGCGAUACGAGUACAAUCUGGCCGAUGACGAGAGCGACUUCGAGCAGCAGGACGAGGAGGCAAAAGACGAGAGCGACGGCGUGGCGGAAACAGAGGGAAAGACAGAAGAGAAGUCAGAGGAUGACGACACCAAGGAGAAGAUCAUGGAGGAGCCGCGGAUUGAAGACAGAGGGAGGGAUGACGAGGAGGAAAGAGCCAAGGAGCUGGAGGAGCUGCUGGCUGCAGAGAUCACCAAGAAAGGAAACGAAGAGAAGAACGACGAGGAGCUGAAAGAGCUGCUGAAGGAGCUGAAAAAGAAACGCUACGAGGCGGUGAAGGAGAGGGAGACGCAGAAGGGCUCGGAGCAGAAGGAGGCGGAUGGAAAGAAGCCGCAGCAGGACAAAGAGAAGGAAGGAGGGGUGGCGGAGGAUGCAGAGAAGCAGAGGAUGGAGGAGCGGAGGAAGAGCGAGGUGGAGCUGAUGGUGGAGAAGGAGAAGGUGGAGAAGGAGCUGAAGGAGCUGCUCAAAGAGCAGGACAGCAAGAGCAAGCCGGAGCAGGAGAGGGAGAGGAAGGAGAAGCAGGAGGAGCUGGACGAACUGGUCAGGAAGAUGAAACGGGUGCAGGAGGAGGAGGAGGAGCAGGAGGAGGAGGUGCCGGGUGAGAAGGAGGAGGCUGCUGCAGGAGGAAACGAGGAUCAGAAGAAAAACGAGGGUGAAGAAGAGAAGGAGCCCGGCGAGAAAGAGGAGAAUGAAGUCCAAAAGAAGGAGGGAGCGGCCGAGGAGGUGAAGGAGCCGCAGCAGAAGAGAAUGAUGGAGAAGGCCAGCGACGAGGCCACGCGACAGUUUGAACGCGAGAGAUUUAAGGAGGAGGAAGAGGAGCAAGAGGAGGGAAACGGAGAGGAUGAGGAGGAUGAGGAGGAUGAGGACGAGUACGUCAGAGAGGAUGAGGAUGGACAAGACGGGGAGGAAGACCAAGUCAACGAAGAGGACGAUGCAGAAGAAGAUGAAGGGGAGGAGCUGCUGGAGAUUGAAGCUGAGCUACGCAAAGUCGCUGCAGAGCUGAGGGAGCUUCGCCGAGGAUGAGACACACACACACACACACACACACACACACACACACACACACACACACACAGACACACACACUGCAGACUGACAGAUACCCUUUGUUGCAUUCACACUCACACAUUCCCCAUUUAAACGCCUUGGAGUCCCUGCAGCACUCAGAGGAAAAUGUCUUUAGAUGUGAAUCUGUAAAUGGACAUAAGUAGAAGUCGUACAUGCCGUUGUGUCAUUUCUACUUUCAGACUUUCCCGGGUGAAGCUGUCACUGUUUCGUUGCGAGCGUGCACUUUAGCGCCGAGAAAAAAGAGGCAGAGUUUUCCCGGGGGGGGUUCUCAAAGUUUGCGUCCAUCGCCGUCUCAGUACCUAUGAAACAUGUUUGUGAGGUGGACAGGUGAUUUCACUGCAGCUGUAAAGGGAUGCAGAGCAUUCAGCACUUGCAUUGAAAUUCCCCUACUAUCCUACCAGUUAAUAUCUGUAAUUGAAUAUAUAUUUUGUGCAAUAACUGAUAGCCACUACAAGUGUAAGCUGUUCCUGCUGUUCCGACUGUUAAUAACAUGUUCUACUGAUCUUUCUACACAGGAGUAAGUCGAUAUCUGCUCUUCAUUUCUUUGAUGAGAAAAAAAAAAAAGUAGAGAUGAGGAUUGUGUUUCAUUUGGCUCACGCACUGUUAAAACCAGACUGUUUGUAAAUGAACCGGGGUGGCACAAGCAACACGCUGUUCAAUCCGCGCACCGACGCGCGCGUCAGGUGUCAACUUUGUCUUUUUCACGUGGUGGCGGCAGGAUGCGAUGCGCUUAGAGCUUAUAAGGUCUAAAAGUGUCACCUCAGGUUCUCAGCCAGCUUUGCACUCUUAUCUUAACAAGCCAAGGAGGAGGAGAU
rnacentral:lncRNA from 1 species